AGAGAUUUGAUUGUCUUGUAGUUCAAGUCUAUAGUUUUUAGGCUUUGGAGGAUUGCCUUAUGCAAAGGGCUUUGGGUUGGUUUUCCUUCAUUGUUAUGUUACCAUGUUGUUAGCCAUUUCUGUUUGGAGCAGCAACCUUUUGGACAAGUUGACGCUUUUCUCUCCAUUAAAAUAAUAAAGAUGUAGAAAACAUGAUAUUUACGAUGGAAGAUAUGAAGCAAGUUUGUUUGGAAAGGGAAUUGAUUCCUUAGAAUUCUAC
rnacentral:lncRNA from 1 species